CGGGAGACACACGGCGGGUGCUAACGUCCGUCGUGAAGAGGGAAACAACCCAGACCGCCAGCUAAGGUCCCAAAGUCAUGGUUAAGUGGGAAACGAUGUGGGAAGGCCCAGACAGCCAGGAUGUUGGCUUAGAAGCAGCCAUCAUUUAAAGAAAGCGUAAUAGCUCACUGGUCGAGUCGGCCUGCGCGGAAGAUGUAACGGGGCUAAACCAUGCACCGAAGCUGCGGCAGCGACGCUUAUGCGUUGUUGGGUAGGGGAGCGUUCUGUAAGCCUGUGAAGGUGUGCUGUGAGGCAUGCUGGAGGUAUCAGAAGUGCGAAUGCUGACAUAAGUAACGAUAAAGCGGGUGAAAAGCCCGCUCGCCGGAAGACCAAGGGUUCCUGUCCAACGUUAAUCGGGGCAGGGUGAGUCGACCCCUAAGGCGAGGCCGAAAGGCGUAGUCGAUGGGAAACAGGUUAAUAUUCCUGUACUUGGUGUUACUGCGAAGGGGGGACGGAGAAGGCUAUGUUGGCCGGGCGACGGUUGUCCCGGUUUAAGCGUGUAGGCUGGUUUUCCAGGCAAAUCCGGAAAAUC
rnacentral:rRNA from 1 species